AUUUGAAAGGAUUAUCUGCUUGGUUUGUCUUUUUUUGCUUCACAAGUAUUAUUUAAUUGAUUUUUUAAAGGAAUAUUUUUUUCUUCAAUCUCCUGAGGGAAAUUUACCCAUGAUUCCACAGUUUUUCCCAGGAUACACUUCUGCAAAGCCCCUCCUAUCUCCUCACUCCCAGGUUUGAGACUACAGGGAGAAGGAGCCAUUUUACAGUCAGCUCUGUGGAAUCGUUUUUUUAGGAAAAUUCCUGCGUUUUAAAACACAUUCCUAUUUUUGUACUGACUACAAUAAUGGAGCCUUUUUCUGACCAGAUUGUGAUGUUCAUGCUGGCUGCAAGCAUGAUGGAGGAAGAAAGUGCUGAUGAACAUCAGGAUCCAGGUCAGCAAAUGUCUGCAUUGGGUGAGCCAGUAUUGCGGGUUUCAUUUCCACGUCCACGCCAGUAUCGCACUAGGCGUGAACUGGAGGAUCUCAGCGAGUUCGAGGUGAUACAAAAUUAUCGCUUAUCGACUCGCGACAUAUAUUCGCUGUACGCUCUGUUGGAGGCCGACUUGGAACCUCGGGCACGGACAAAUCGUGCAAUCAGCGGUUUUCAGAAACUGCUGGGGACGUUAUAUUUUUUGGCGUCAGGCACAUUCCAGCCUACACUGUCUCAAACAUGCGGUUUUUCACAGUCGACACUGUCGCGCUGUAUAACUUAGGUCAUUAGGGCUUUCCGCAAAUUGACGAUCCAGUACAUCACAUUUCCAGAGACGGACAGCGAAUGUCGUGAGAUCAAAUUAGGCUUUUUCAACAAAUACAAAUUUCCCAAUGUGCUGGGCGCGAUUGACUGUACCCACGUGCAGAUCAGACCGCCACGGAAUUCAGAGGAAUGUUUUCGGAACCGAAAACAGUUCCAUUCCCUGAACGUUCAGGCGGUUUGUGAUGUAAACAUGAGAUUUUUGAACAUUUUUGUGGGAUUUCCUGGAUCAUCUCACGACUCCUUCAUCCUAAGCCAGUCAUCGCUGUUUGACAAGUUCGAAACAGGAAACAUGCCUGGUGGCUGGCUGUUAGGUAUGUAUUUUCAUUUUUUUAUUUUUUUAUUAUUUUUUUAUUAUUUUUUUUAAUUAUUUUUUACAAGUACCUAACAUUUUUUUUAUAUUUUCUAUAGGCGAUGCGGGUUAUCCAAACAAACCGUGGCUGUUGACCCCAUUGUCUAAUCCUGUUGGUAGAGCAGAAAAACGUUACCAAGAGACACACAUUGCAUCGAGGCAAAUAAUUGAACGUGCCUUCGGUGUACUUAAAAGCCGGUUUCGAUGUUUAGACACUUCCGGCGGUGCUCUUUUGUACUCACCGUCGAAGGUUUGCGGCAUGGUAAAUGCAUGUUGUAUUUUACACAACAUAUGUGUCGCAAACCGUUUGCCGGUGACUCUUCGUCGCAGUGCUUUCCGACGCGGGAACCGGUCUUCUGCUCUACCGGUGGGUAUGGACGAAGGAGAGGAUUCCCGGCGGACAUUGAUCCAAAAUUAUUUUGCAGUUGCCUAGUUUUACAUCCUGUUGAUGUAUAUCCCCAGGCCAUGUUUGUACAGUUCGUUACCCCGUUUUAUCCUGUUGUUGGGUUACCGCAAAUAUUUGAUCCUUUUAUCCAACUCUACCAUGGGUGACCCUACUGGUGAUGUGGACCUGACCCUCCGCCAUGUAGCAGACAACCCCCCCUCAGGUCCUGCGAUGUAUCUUCCCAAGUGGCGUGGAUGUGAGGAGACACGACAUUUCACCUGAUGUUCCAUGGGUGACCCUACUGGUGAUGUGGACCUGACCCUCCGCCAUGUAGCAGACAACCCCCCUCAGGUGAGAUGUAUUGCCCAAGACUCCCUUGUCCAAAAUCACCCCGGCAUGUCCAAAGUGCAGCCCUCCAGCAUUUGCAAGACUGCACAUCCAAACAUUCCCUGAAACAGCAAUGCUAGGGAAUGUUUGGAUGUGUAGUGAUGCAAGUGCAGGAGGGUUGCAUUUGGGCCGCUGCAACCCGCUUGUGUUGUGUGGACUGUUGUAUGUACCUCUUUUUCCAGUCCCAGGGUGACACUAUCACCCAUAUCUGGAAGCUCAAACUGUUCUCUUCCACAGGUCCUGCGAUGUAUCUUCCCAAGUGGCGUGGAUGUGAGGAGACACGACAUUUCACCUGAUGUUCCAUGGGUGACCCUACUGGUGAUGUGGACCUGACCCUCCGCCAUGUAGCAGACAACCCCCCUCAGGUGAGAUGUAUUGCCCAAGACUCCCUUGUCCAAAAUCACCCCGGCAUGUCCAAAGUGCAGCCCUCCAGCAUUUGCAAGACUGCACAUCCAAACAUUCCCUGAAACAGCAAUGCUAGGGAAUGUUUGGAUGUGUAGUGAUGCAAGUGCAGGAGGGUUGCAUUUGGGCCGCUGCAACCCGCUUGUGUUGUGUGGACUGUUGUAUGUACCUCUUUUUCCAGUCCCAGGGUGACACUAUCACCCAUAUCUGGAAGCUCAAACUGUUCUCUUCCACAGGUCCUGCGAUGUAUCUUCCCAAGUGGCGUGGAUGUGAGGAGACACGACAUUUCACCUGAUGUUCCAUGGGUGACCCUACUGGUGAUGUGGACCUGACCCUCCGCCAUGUAGCAGACAACCCCCCUCAGGUGAGAUGUAUUGCCCAAGACUCCCUUGUCCAAAAUCACCCCGGCAUGUCCAAAGUGCAGCCCUCCGGCAUUUGCAAGAUUGCACUUCCAAACAUUCCCUCCUGAUACACCUAAUGCUUGUCAGGGAAUGUUUGGAUGUGUAGUGACGCGAGUGGCGGAGGUUUGCAUUUGGACCCACUGUUCCCCGCUUGUGUUGUGUGGACUGUAUGUACCUCUUCUUUCCAGUCCCAGGGUGACACUAUUACCCAUAUCUGGAAGCUCAUACUGUUCUCUUCCACAGGUCUUCCGGUGUAUCCUUCCUAAGUGGUGUGGAUGUGAAGAGACAGUUCCCUUGAUGUUCCCUGGGCAAUCUACUUACGUACAAUUCAAAUGCAUUACAAAUUUUAAUAAAAACCACAGGAAACUUCUAUU